rnacentral:rRNA from 1 species
GUGGCAGGGGCGGCGGUAAUACGUAGGGAGCAAGCGUUGUUCGGAAUCAUUGGGCGUAAAGAGCGCGUAGGCGGCUUGGCAAGUCUGGUGUGAAAUCUCACAGCUCAACUGUGAAACUGCAUCAGAAACUGCCUGGCUAGAGUGCGGGAGAGGAGAGUGGAAUUCCCAGUGUAGAGGUGAAAUUCGUAGAUACUGGGAGGAACACCGGUGGCGAAGGCGGCUCUCUGGACCGCAACUGACGCUGAGGCGCGAAAGCUAGGGGAGCGAACGGGAUUAGAUACCCCGGUAGUCCUAGCCGUAAACGAUGGGCACUAGGUGUAGGGGGUAUCGACCCCUUCUGUGCCGAAGCUAACGCAUUAAGUGCCCCGCCUGGGGAGUACGGUCGCAAGACUAAAACUCAAAGGAAUUGACGGGGGCCCGCACAAGCGGUGGAGCAUGUGGUUUAAUUCGACGCAACGCGAAGAACCUUACCUGGGCUUGACAUCCCGCGACGGUAACAGAGAUGUUGCUUUCCUUCGGGACGCGGAGACAGGUGCUGCAUGGCUGUCGUCAGCUCGUGUCGUGAGAUGUUGGGUUAAGUCCCGCAACGAGCGCAACCCAUGCCCUUAGUUGCCAGCGAGUAAUGUCGGGAACUCUAGGGGAACUGCCGGUGAUAAACCGGAGGAAGGUGUGGAUGACGUCAAGUCCUCAUGGCCUUUAUGCCCAGGGCUACACACGUGCUACAAUGGCCGGUACAAAGGGUCGCAAGCCCGCGAGGGGGAGCCAAUCCCAAAAAGCCGGUCUCAGUUCGGAUUGCAGGCUGCAAUUCGCCUGCAUGAAGGUGGAAUCGCUAGUAAUCCCGGAUCAGCAUGCCGGGGUGAAUACGUUCCCGGGCCUUGUACACACCGCCCGUCACACCACGAAAGCCAGUUGUACCAGAAGUCGCUGGGCCAACCCGCAAGGGAGGCAGGUGCCGAAGGUAUGGUCGGUGAUUGGGGUGAAGUCGUAACAAGGUAACC